rnacentral:rRNA from 1 species
GCGGCGAGCGAACGGGGAGCAGCCCGGAGUCUGAAUCAGCUUGUGUGUUAGUGGAACGGUCUGGAAAGUCCGACGGUACAGGGUGAUAGUCCCGUACACGAAAGCACACAUGCUGUGAACUCGAAGAGUAGGGCGGGACACGUGGUAUCCUGUCUGAAUAUGGGGGGACCAUCCUCCAAGGCUAAAUACUCCUGACUGACCGAUAGUGAACCA